UUAGCACUAUAGUCGUCCAAUGGUGAACUCGUUGCAGGGGCUUCUGCAAAGGAUGAUGUCUCAGUCUCUGUUUCGGUCACAUCCUCAGCUGGGACUGUUGGCGCUGGCGCGGUUGAGUCCUGCAUUUGUGAGGGUAUGUGAACCGGUGUUUUGACAUUGGCAGGGCCAUCAGGGAAAUCUUCGAGGGACAGCUCCGUUGGCACUAACGGAGUCUGUAGGAGUUGAUCAACAUGUCUCCUCCAUACACUAUCAGACGUUUGGACAGUAUAGGAUACUGGUCCAGUUUGCGCAAUAACAGUGGCAGGAAUCCACUUUGGUUCGCCACGGUAGUUCCUUGCCUGCACAGAUUCUCCUGGCUUGGAAACUCUUC